rnacentral:piRNA from 1 species
AGCCUGCCCACUGAGGUGAAGUUUCAGGA